rnacentral:rRNA from 1 species
CGGGAAAAGCUCAAAUUUAAAAUCUGGCGGUCUCUGGCCGUCCGAGUUGUAAUUUGGAGAGGAUGCUUCGGGUGUGGUCCCGGUCUAAGUUCCUUGGAACAGGACGUCACAGAGGGUGAGAAUCCCGUACGUGCCCGGUGGCCGCCCCCGUGUGAAGCUCCUUCGAC